GCUUCAGUGACAUGUGCUUGCUUUUGAGAAAAUCAGAACUCUUCAGACUAGCACUAGGAGUAAUUACCAUGUUUAUUUUAUGUUUACCUGAAUAUUUCAAAAUCCAUGAAGCUAACACUGUAAUUGUAUCAUGCAUGGAUACCUGUUCAUCAAAAAACACCACUUUCCCCCUUUGCACUUUUAACAAUUCUUGCAAAAGAUCGCUGCAACAAAGAAGAGAAAACCAGACUAUUUUACUGAAAGCUGUUGUAAACCACUACAAUUUCCAAAAUAUUCCAUGCAUUUGCCAGUCCUCCAGGAGGGAGCAGUCCCAUAGUAAACACACAGAGUGUGAAUCCAAGAGAGAUGUGAAUGAUGAUCAUCAAGGAUUGGGGUCAGUAGCUAAAAAAAUUUCUGAGAAAGAAGAAGUAGAGCAUAAUACUUACUACCUGCUGGAAGUCCACAUCAACAAUUCCAUAGUUGGAGGAAGAAAUGCAGCUGAAGAAUACCUAAAUCAUUCCUGUCUAGUGGCAAUGAUGGAAGACCAAAAUGACUGUAUAAAUAUUUCACUGCAACUGAAGUCUUAUGUGGAAUAUCCAAUGUGUAUGACGAAGAUCAUAUGGCUCACUAUGAUUCCAGUGGUUUUUGUGGUUACUGUUUCAAUUGUAAUCUACAAAAUAAUCCAAGACAACGAACAAAACUAUUGUAAACACCUAGCAGCAGCAGUUUCUACUAUUCUAAGAAGAAAGAGUUUUAGACAUGCAAGAAGAACCAUAACUGUGAAUAAAAUUCAUCCUUUUCCUGGAGUGAAAACCAGCGAACAACAGAUUCCACUUACUGCACAGACCACAAAGAUACUGCCCAUAAUUCCUGAACAAGAGCAUUGUCAUGUGGAUGCAUCAACUGUAGAAGGUGGAGUAGUUCAUGAAGAGAUGUCCAGGAGCUAACACAGUGGAAAAGAUUCUGGAGUGAAGGCAGGUAUCACACAAAACUCUUCUCCCCUCAUCUGGCUGUCAGGAGGGAAGAAGCCUGAUCAGCUGUUUGAAGGAAAGAGAGCAAUCACCACCUACCAUUAGAAGAGAGUUCCAGACUGAACCCUGGGUAGAUGGAGACAAUCUGCAGAGACCCAGGUUGAGACACUUUGGGGACAUCCUUACUGGCGCUCUUCAGCCUAGUGGAUGCAGUGACCACUCUGCAGGGCAGCGCCUGGCUCUGCCCACCCUUGGUUUGCCAAGCCUCCCUGAAAGCGAGUGAGGUCCCGUGCUUCUCACUCAGGUUCCUAUAUCAUCCUCUUGGGGGGCAGGUACCUAAACCACCAUCAUGUCAGCAGUUUCAGAUGUCACCAUUUAAUGUAUGAUUACUAUUGGAUGAAAGAAGACACAUCAUACACCACAGACGAAAGCAUCUCCAUUUCCGGUUUGCAGAGCUAUGUUACCCAUCUUUUCAUGAAAAUGCCAACUAUGCAUUUUAGCUCCAUUUCAUCUGUCAUCAGAACUAUUUGGUAUUAAGAAAAUACGAAUGAUGGACAAACGUUUUGCUGUAGAAUCAACUUCGGUAGGAGAGUAUAGAUUUCACAUCUGUUUUCAGUUCAUUCAGGAUUUAUCCUUAAUCAUAUGGAUGUGAGAGAAUCCUUGCAAAAGUUGCAUUUUCUAUCUGAGAAGAAAUUUAUUUUGUAUUCUCCAUAGGACAAGAAAGGCUGUUUAAAGAUAGAAACGAUCCUGUACUUUUCUGAAACAAGCACGGUUUUCAGCCUGUUUAGUGCUCCAUGUGACUAAGAUGCUUAAAAUUUCUGGCUGUUGAGGAAGGUGGCCAGAGGAUCAUAGAGGGAGAGGAUUCUGCAGUACAUUUUAAUUUCUGCAGUAAACCAGGAAGACCUUCAUAAACUUUGCAACAUCUUAGUGGAUAAGGAAAAAAAUGUGGAAAAGUAGUAAUUUGGCUUCAAACCACAAAAUCAGUAUUAUUGGUUUUUAAUAACUCAUUAAGACACCAAAUGGGUUUCAUACUUUUUGAUAAAUUGCAUUUCUAUCUUUUGUACUAGCUUACGCCAUUAGCAUUCUGACUCAUUAUCUCCUGGAACUUUCCUUCCUUCCCAUUUAUUGCUGCUCCUCGGAGGGUGAUGGAGCUGUUUGGGCUGAGCAGGGUCCCAAGCUCAUUCAGUGCUAACACAUUAUUUGCGGGUACAAUUUAACCAUCAAUUACUAGGCAGAGACAGAAAUUGCAGAGCCAGGACUGCAGGCUCCCUUGUGCUAAAUCCGUCAGGAUGAACAGAUUGUAAACUGCCCGUUGCAAAUAUGAUAUGCAGCAAUUUAGCAUCACGUUAAUACUUUAUAACCUCCAUCCUGUAUAUUUAUAUAGCUUUUCCCUCCUGAAGCUUUCUGAAAUUGGUUCUCCAGUCAUUAUACUGCACCAAGCAGUUCAGAUUUAAUAGGAAUAGUUGUGAACAUUAGCUUCUGAAUGAUUUGAGGCCAUAUGGAAUUUUUUAUAUUUAGCUGGAUAAGUCUGAAACAUUUGUUUCUAUUGUGUGUUACCAUCUUAUAAAAAAAAUCAGAUAAAAAUACUGACUUUCUUGAUUUGGGGGCUUUUGAGGCUUUAUUGCUUAUCUGUGGCAAUAACUUAAAGCUUUUCAGAAAUGGAUUUUUUAAUACAGUCUAUUUGUCACAAUUUGU